rnacentral:tRNA from 1 species
GUACUUUUAGUUUAUUGGUAGAAUACUCAUAGCAAUGUGAGAGGUGCAGGUUCGAUUCCUGUAAGGUAUG